AUGUCAUGAUGAGGACAUUUCCUAAGAGAAUCAUUCAAUCGUUCCCAUAUCUCAUAAAACAUUUCCCUACCCCCUUAUGAGAAUUCACGAAUUGAAGUUCUCAUUGC